UAGAGGAAGUNAANGUCGUAACAAGGUUUCCGUAGGUGAACCUGCGGAAGGAUCAUU
rnacentral:rRNA from 1 species